rnacentral:misc_RNA from 1 species
AGCUCGUAACUUUGUAGUAUCAAGAACUCCCACUCAAGUUGCUAGCCAUGCCCAAAAAUAUUUCAUUCGCCACAGCAAUUUGGGCAGGCGCAAGAGAAGGACCAGCCUCUUCGAUAUGGUCCCUGAUGAACCCGGGGUUGCUUCUACUUUUCCUGUGGGAUCCCAAGAGCCAGAUAUACAGGGCAACAAUGCAGUGCCAACACCCCCAGCG